CUUCUAAGUCUUUAAGUUUGCAUUUUUGCAGUAGAAAUAUUUAGACAAAUUAUUUAAAUAUAGCAUAUCAUUCCUAAGCAAUCCAGUGCUAUUAUUAUCAUUUUAAAAUUACUCAGAGUUUUACUACAUUUAUAAGUGUACAAUGAUCAUCACAACCCAAUUUUAUAGCAUUUCCAUCUCAAACCCCCAUCCCAUCCCCCACUCCCCAACCUGUUUCAUUUGGAAACUAUAAGUGUUUCAAAGUCUGUAAGUCAUUAUUUGUCAUGCAAAGAAGUUCAUUGUGUCUUUUUUUAGAUUCCACAUGUAAGUGAUAGCAUACGAUGUUGGUGUCUCGCUGUCUGACUUCACUUAUGAUACUUUCUAGGUCCAUCCAUGUUGCUGCAAAUGCCGUUAUUUCUUUCAUUUUAAUGGCUGAGUAAUAUUCCAUUGUGUAUAUGUAUCACAUCUUCUUGAUCUACUUCUCUGUCGAUGGAUAUUUAGGUAGUUUCCAUGUCUUGGCUAUUGUGUAGAUCGCUGCAAUGAACAUUGGAGUACAUGUAUCUUUUUGAGUCAUGGUUUUCUCUGGAUAGAUGCCCAGGAGUGGGAUUGCUGGAUCAAAUGGUGAUUCUAUUUUUAGUUUUCUAAGGAAUCUCCAUACUGUUUUCCACAGUGGUUGCACCAAUUUACAUUCCCACCAACAGUGAAAUAGGUUCCCUUUUCUCCACACCCUCUCCAGCAUUUAUUCCACAGAACUAUUGAAAUGUCUCUAGAUAUUGCCUUAGGGGAAAAAUUUUGCCCCUGAGAACAACUGAUGUAACCCUAUGGAUAGGUUCUGUUAUCCCUUCUGAUUAUAGGUAAAGAAACACAUAGAAUAAGUAACCUGGCCAAGAGCAUGCAUCUAAUAAGUUGAGUUGUAAUUAAAACCCAUGAUAAUAGUCCUGGCAAUCAUACCAUUAACUCCCACAGGUGCUUAUUUUCUAGGAACAAAAAUAAAUCUUGAAGUAGUUGGAGGAGCAUUAGCAAUGGGGGUGGGGGUGGUAGUAAGAAGAUAAGGCCAGAGAAGAACAAGCGGUGAGAUGAUGUUUCAAGGACUUGCUUCUGAAGGUUUGAGCAAAGGACGUAUAAGAUUUAAUUUAUGUCUUAAAAUGACCUCUUUGCAGCCUUAUGGAGAGUAGGCUAUCAGGAAGCAACAACUGGAUACUAGGCAGAUUCCCACACCUGUCUAGAGAAGAGAUGACAGUGCAUGAAGUACGGUGGUAGAGAUGAAGAUGGUUGGAAAUAGUAUGAUUCUAGAAAUAUUUUGAAGGUAGAUUUGACAGGAUUUGCUGGUGAAGUUGGUGUUCUAUGACUGAAAGAGAGAAGUGAAGAAUGCUACCAAAGAUUUUAGCCUGAGCUACAGAAAGAACAGACUUGCCAAUUAAUGAGCAGGGAAGACAGUUGGAGGCUCCAUUUCAGGUCACAGGGGCGUUAGAAUCAUGAGUUAUUUUCAGUACAUCAUAAGUUUAAGUUUAACCAUCAUGAUGGUUAUCAGACAUUCAGAUGGAAAUAUUGAGCAGACUUCUGUAUAUAUGAGGCUAGUCCUAGGAGAUAAAACUUUUGGUGUUAUCAGCAUAGAGAUGACCUUUAGAUCCAUAAUAUAGGAUGAUAUCACUAAGGGAACUACCAAAGAUUUAUAAGAAGACAUUCAAGGACUGAGCCCUGAGACAUUCCAAAGUCUAGAAGUCAGGAAGAUGAAGAAAGAAGGAGAUAAAGAAGACUAAUAUGGAUUUCCCAUAGAGGAAGGAGGAGAACCAGGGAAAAGUGGAACAGCAAGCCAAGUGAAGAAAGCAUUUCAAGGAAAAGAGUUAUUGAUUUCUUCAAAGGCUAUUGCUAAGUCCUUUAAGAUGAGUCCAGAAGA
rnacentral:lncRNA from 1 species